rnacentral:rRNA from 1 species
UGCCAGCCGCCGCGGUAAUACGGAGGGUGCGAGCGUUAAUCGGAAUUACUGGGCGUAAAGCGCGCGUAGGUGGUCUGUUAAGUCGGAUGUGAAAGCCCCGGGCUCAACCUGGGAACUGCGUUUGAAACUGUAAGACUAGAGUGUGUUAGAGGGGGGUAGAAUUCCAUGUGUAGCAGUGAAAUGCAUAGAUAUGUGGAGGAAUACCAAUGGCGAAGGCGGCCUCCUGGCUCGACACUGACACUGAGGCGCGAAAGCGUGGGGAGCAAACAGGAUUAGAUA